ensembl:snRNA U6 U6 spliceosomal RNA
GUGCUCACUUCAGCAACAUAUAUACUAUAAUUGGAAUAAUUUAUAGAAGAUUACCAUGGCCUCUGUGCAAAGAUGACACAUUAAUUCAUGGAUAUAUUCUAUAAAUUU